CAGGCAAGGACACCGCCUGCCGUCUCCACUCCGGGGUCUUCCCCGCCCAGGGGUAGAACCACAGAACCGCUUGCACUUCAGGCAGAUUCUUUACUGAUUGAGACACCGGGAAAGCCUGAGGGUUAUAACUAUUCAGCUGAAGCUGAAACUCCAAUACUUUGGCCACCUGAUGUGAAGAACUGACUCAUUGGAAAAGACCCUGGGCAAGGCUGAAGGCAGGAGGAGAAGGGGACGACAGAGGAUGAGAUGGUUGGAUGGCAUCACUGACUCGAUGGACGUGAGUUUGAGCAGGAGUUGGUGAUGGACAGGGAGCCCUGGCGUGCUGCAGUCCAUGCGGUCGCAAAGAGUUGGACACAACUGAGCAACUGAACUGAACUGAAAUUAUAGGAAUGGGCUUCCCUGGUGGCUCAGUGGUAGAGAAUCCGCCUGCUGAACAGGAGAGACAGGUUCGAUCCAUGGGUCAGGAAGAUCCUCUGGGGAAGUACAUGGCACCCACUCCAGUCUUCUUACCUGGAGAAUUCCAUGAACAGAGGUGCCUGGCAGGCUACAGUCCAUGGAACUGCAGAGUCAGAUGUGAUUUAACAACUGGAACAGCAACAAGCAUGAGACAAGGGCCCUGUAACCAGCAGUUGCCCAGGGCAACGAGAGAAGCCACGCAGUGAGAAGCCGUGCGCCGCAACUGGAGAAGGCCUGCGCACAGCAGCAGAGACCGCACGGCAGGAAGAUGGCCAACAGCAGAAGCCGGUGACACGGGCAGAGAUGCCUGUAGGGACGGUGACGCGGUCACGAGUAUUUAGGCUGAGAAUUCCGUUCGGUGUCCCCCGGCGUCUCCCCAGGUCAUCUGAGCAGUCUUGAAGGGAGACGCUCUGUUGACUUCGUCCCUGAAGCCCACCAAAGACGCGUGCACGUCCACGGCCCGCAGGGCCAUCGCAGCCCGUCCAUCGCAGCCCGUACAGGACUGAGAAAGCAGUGUUGUCUCCCGAGCGGCUCCAUCUGGCGCCAGGAGAGGAAAGUGGAUCUUUACGGCUGAGCAGGUAAUUCUGCUUCAGGGCGUCUGGAUGGUGCAUCAGCCAGAAGCACAGGGCACAGCUGGGGAGUGGGCGCGAUUGCCCGGCGGGCAGCUGCGCUGGGGGACCCCGGGACAGGGUGGGUCCUGGCACAGGCCUCGGCCUGCAGGUGCCAGCCCUGUCCUGAACAGCUUCACCCGCAGAGCUGUCGCUGUCCGCAGGGAACAGGCCAGGGCGGAGGCGGUGGUCUGAAAGGGAGGGGCUCGUGUCCCUUCGUUCUCACCCUCAGCCCCUGCCCCGGCCUGGCGCAGGCCCAGAGGGUGGCGGCCCCUGGAAGCGGGACCCCCUUCUCUCGGUC
ensembl:lncRNA